rnacentral:lncRNA from 1 species
AUGAUGUGCUUUUCCUGUCUCUAGGUUGAUCCAGGAGACAGGGGUUCUUUCUGGUGUGCUUCCAGGAGCAGUACCAAUCCAGCUCCAGGUGGAGCAGGCUGGCUCCAGAGAAGCACCUCUCCCACUUGCAAAGUCCUGAGGAUCUGCACUGUCUCAGACCCAUCUUGGACCUCAGUCUAGGCUCACCCCAAAUCUGCAUCCCUGUACUCACAAAGAUGUGAGCCCAAGGGAAGCAGAAAGACAGCAGCACCUAUUUCUGGGUGCAGGAUGUUACUUCUGUGGGAGGCAGUAUUCCUUAUGAUCACUUCAUGGCAGAGUGUAAGUCACAGACUUUUGCAAAGGCAGGAUACAGCCUUUAUGAAAGGUACUUUCUCCUUGGCUCCUGUCAGCCCUCCAGCUCAGAAAGAAGAAUGUUGCCUUAGCUGUCAAGGUGGCAGGUUCUUUUUACUAUAAAGGAAGAUGCUUUAUGCCUGGGUCUUCUGAACUGGGACUUAAAACAUUUUGAAAGCUUGAGUUACUUUUCAGAAUAUAUUUCUUCAUUCAAGCAGAUCACAAAAGGAAGCAGGAAAAAAAUACUUGGAAGAAAUUUUUUUGGAUGUCUGAACAGAUCAAAGAGCUACAUCCCAAGUAGACAACAGGACACAUUAGAUACUUUUCCCUUCUUGGGUCGUAUGCUGGCACAACAGUCAGCACACUUUAUCUUGAGAAGUGAUGAAAUUUCUAACAAAACAGCUUUCAGUGUACUUCUUGUUCUCUCCACAUUUUCAGAAGCUUCUAGCAUGGACAUGAAGCUCUUGUAAAUUCUGUCCUGGCAUCCUUGCACUGGCAGGUGCCAGUCAACUGGAAUCACAGGCAAGCUGAUCUGCCUUCCUGAACAACAGCUGAAACACCUCUGGAAAGGCUGCAACCCCCUUCACAGCCCACAUCAGUCUGUGAACCAGGUGUUUUGAGUUUCAGUUUGGACUUGGCUUCUAAUUUUAAUAUUGCUCUACAACCUUCUAGAGCAACUGUUUUUGUGUAUGAUAUAAGCUGUAUUUCCUCUUUCUUUUUUGUUCAAAAAUGUUUCCCAGCUCUUAGCAUACCAGUAUUUCUGCAGAAGAAAUGGGUAAAAGCAUUAGAUUUAGUUUCGUAAAGUCUAGACAAUCUUAUCCCCGUAUUUAGAGACAUUUUUAUAUUAUAAAUGAAGAAAUUCCUGAUGCUACAGACAGUGAAUUGGUACUUGGAAAAGCACCAUUUGGAAAAUUACCAGUAAGGACGAAAAGAAGUAGAACUGAGGGAGAGUAUCUUGUGAUGAUUCUUGUUUCCUGAGUCACUGACAAUAUACUAUGUUGGUAUACAAGGAUUUAUGAGUAAUUCACACAAUGUGAGAUGUGAAUAGCUAAAAAUUGGUAUUUUCAAAAGGCAUUACUAAUUCCCACAUAAGCUUUUAGCAAAGCUUCGUGGACACAUAAAGCUGGAAACUACUGUAACUCCAGUUCCAAUAGACUCACCUCUACCAUGUUACAAGCAUCAUUCAGGAUAAUACCUUCCUCCUGUUGCUACUUCAGAAAGUAACUAUUUUUUGGGCUAUGAAAUAUUGUUGCUCUCCAUCCUCUCAUUUUGUUACCACAGACUCAGCUUAAAAGGAUCUGAAUUCUGACUGAUGCAAGUCUUCUUGCCUUCCAGAUUCCACAACGAAUUCCAUAUGAAUUGCAUCCCUUCACAUAAGAGAAAGAUGAACUUGUAAUGUAUGUAUUCUACACACUGCUGAGUCAGGAACAGGACUCCAGGAUGAAAAUGUGUAGAAUACAA